CAGUCGCCGCGGUAAUACGAAGGGGGCUAGCGUUGCUCGGAAUCACUGGGCGUAAAGCGUGCGUAGGCGGUUCGUUAAGUCUGUUGUGAAAGCCCCGGGCUCAACCUGGGAAUGGCAAUGGAUACUGGCGAGCUAGAGUGUGUCAGAGGAUGGUGGAAUUCCCGGUGUAGCGGUGAAAUGCGUAGAGAUCGGGAGGAACAUCAGUGGCGAAGGCGGCCAUCUGGGACAACACUGACGCUGAGGCACGAAAGCGUGGGGAGCAAACAGGAUUAGAUACCCGGGUAGUCCCUGUCUCUUAUAC
rnacentral:rRNA from 1 species